UCUACUAAUAUAGUAUAGAUAAUGUUGUAGUAUUGAAUAAUUUAAAUACCUUUCUAAACAACUGUUUUAGCACCCAAAGUAAUGGUUGAUAAUCUCUUGAUCGAAAAAGUUUUGUAACAAACCACCCACCAGGUCUUAAAAAUAAUAUCUUCUACUAAACUGAUGCAUCCUGGAAUGGGCUUUAUGGGAAAUAAAUCUACACCAACUACUAUAGAAGAUACGGGCAUAUUUUGACGGGCGACCUGCAUCCACCCGCCAGGAGCAGCACAUAGAUCUAUGCAUACUCGAGAUUUUUGUAAAAAUUCAAAUUUUCGAUUCAAUUGAAUUAACUUGAAAGCAGCACGCGAUCUAUAACCUGUAAAACAUAACCUAUUAAAUAUUUUAUUUACAUAUAACAAGUAACAAAAUCAGACUUGAAGUAAUAUUUACCAGUUUCCUUUGCUAACUGAUAAUAUUUAUCUUUUCUCUGUUUUCCAAUUUUUCCUUUUUUCCCCAUGUUAAAUUAUUCAUUCAUACAAUUAUACCUUUUACCAGAAAGUUAUGUAGUUUAAUUAAAUACAACAGACAAA